GACGUAGGGCGCGAGCGUUGUCCGGAUUUAUUGGGCGUAAAGAGCUCGUAGGCGGCUUGUCGCGUCGUCCGUGAAAACCAGGGGCUCAACCCCUGGCUUGCGGUCGAUACGGGCAGGCUAGAGUUCGGUAGGGGAGACUGGAAUUCCUGGUGUAGCGGUGAAAUGCGCAGAUAUCAGGAGGAACACCGGUGGCGAAGGCGGGUCUCUGGGCCGAUACUGACGCUGAGGAGCGAAAGCGUGGGGAGCAAACCGG
rnacentral:rRNA from 1 species